rnacentral:lncRNA from 1 species
UUGCAUUCGCUAUGUGGCUGGCACUGGCUCUCUCUGUGGCUCCCUUGGGCUCCCUAUGUGGCUUGCCCUGGCUCCCUAUGCGGCUUGCACUGGCACUCUAAGUGGCUUGCAUCAGCUCCCUAUGUGGCUUGCACCAGCUCCCUAUGCAGCUGGCACUAGCUCUCCACGUGGCUUGCAUUCACUAUGUGGCUGGCACUGCCUCCCUCUGUGGCUCCCUUGGGCUCCCUGUGUGGCUCCCUUGGGCUCCCUAUGCGGCUUGCACUGGCACUCUAAGUGGCUUGCCCUGGCUCCCUCUGCGGCUGGCACCGGCUCUCUGUGUCUCGCCUCGGCUCCGCCCGUGUCUCGCCCGGCUCCCCGCGCGGCCCCCACGGCGCCAGCCCCGCACCGCGCCCUGAGCAGCGCACGCAUCCCGUGCUCGGUCGCCACUUCAUUGCAGCCCGUCAGCCCCACGACGAGUCGUAGCCCGCCCAGCCCUCGUCGGGCGCCAGGUAGACGCGGCGCCCGCGGUGCACGAAGGUGACGACGCCGCGGUAGGCGGCCCUGGGCACGCCGGCCUUCAGGUCGUCCAUGAGCCCCAGGGCCUUGGCGGCGGCGCGGAACGCGUCCCUGCCUCCGUAGCGCAGCCGCAGCGCCCCGCCGCCGCCGCCGCCGCCGCCGGCCCGCAGCUCGUCCAGGCGCACGGGGCGGGCGGCGCUCAGCUGCGCCGCCCAGCGGCGGUCGAAGGCGUCGCGCCGCAGGUAGCCGAGGUCCAUGCGGGUGAAGGGCACGAAGCGGCGGUUGAGCGCCAUGUGCCGCAGGUGCUGCUCGAAGAACUGGCCGUGGCUGACGCCCUUGCGGCCGAACGUGACGGUGCGGGACACCUCCGGCCUCACGCACGCCCGGCCGCGGCGCUGCUCGGGUUGCCGCAUCCAAUCGUCCCAAAAAGCGGGCGGCCACUUGGGCUCCAGCUCGUCCCAAAGGCGUUCGGUCAGCAGCCAACCCAAACCGGGGAAGAAAUCGGUGCGGUACAGCAGCUCCGGUCGAGCGGCGUCCACCAGCUGCUCCUUGCCGUUGUCGUGCCAAGCGGAGACGCACCAAAGGCUGCCGUCCUCCAAGAGUAAAGGAUAAACGGCUUGGAAAUACUCGUAAAAAUCCGGAGCCACUUCCAGGUCGUCCUCCACCACGAUGGCGGCCGGGUAACGUAGGACGCGGAAAACGUGAGCCAAAGCCCACCGGUAAUGACGGGAGAUUUUGUAGUAACCCAAGAAUUUGCGGUGUUCAUCCGGGACGGAUGGAGCUUCGGAUCCGUGGGGAGGAUGAAGGUGGGUGAUGGAAUCGCCGUAGGAUGAGAUGACGGCCGCCGUUUCGCGGUGCCCGCAGUCUUGGCUGACGAUGAUGGGGAAGCGUUGGGCCGAAGGACGAUAGCGGAGUAAAGAAUCCAAACAGCGGCGGACAGAAGUGCGGUCGCAAGCCAGGACCAGGAUGGGGAGGGUGGGAAGGGAUGGGGAUGGGGUGGGAAAA